rnacentral:rRNA from 1 species
GGGCCCGCACAAGCAGCGGAGCGUGUGGUUUAAUUCGAUGCAACACGAAGAACCUUACCUGGGCUUGACAUGGUCGUAGUAGUGAAGCGAAAGCGGAACGAGCCUUCGGGCAGCGAUCACAGGUGCUGCAUGGCUGUCGUCAGCUCGUGUCGUGAGAUGUUGGGUUAAGUCCCGCAACGAGCGCAACCCUCGCUACUAGUUACAAGUGUCUAGUGGGACUGCCGGAGUCAAACCGGAGGAAGGUGGGGAUGACGUCAAGUCAGCAUGGCCCUUAUGUCCAGGGCUACACACACGCUACAAUGGCCGGUACAAUGAGUUGCUAAACCGCGAGGUGGCGCUAAUCUCAUCAAAGUCGGUCUCAGUUCGGAUUGCAGGCUGCAACCCGCCUGCAUGAAGUCGGAGUUGCUAGUAACCGCAGGUCAGCUAUACUGCGGUGAAUACGUUCCCGGGCCUU